GUACACUCCUACGGGAGGCAGCAGUGGGGAAUAUUGGACAAUGGGCGCAAGCCUGAUCCAGCCAUGCCGCGUGAGUGAUGAAGGCCCUAGGGUUGUAAAGCUCUUUCACCGGAGAAGAUAAUGACGGUAUCCGGAGAAGAAGCCCCGGCUAACUUCGUGCCAGCAGCCGCGGUAAUACGAAGGGGGCUAGCGUUGUUCGGAAUUACUGGGCGUAAAGCGCACGUAGGCGGAUCGAUCAGUCAGGGGUGAAAUCCCAGGGCUCAACCCUGGAACUGCCUUUGAUACUGUCGAUCUGGAGUAUGGAAGAGGUGAGUGGAAUUCCGAGUGUAGAGGUGAAAUUCGUAGAUAUUCGGAGGAACACCAGUGGCGAAGGCGGCUCACUGGUCCAUUACUGACGCUGAGGUGCGAAAGCGUGGGGAGCAAACAGGAUUAGAUACCCGGGUAGUCC
rnacentral:rRNA from 1 species